rnacentral:rRNA from 1 species
UACGUAGGGCGCAAGCGUUGUCCGGAAUUAUUGGGCGUAAAGAGCUCGUAGGCGGCCAGUUGCGUCUGCUGUGAAAUCCCGGGGCUCAACCCCGGGCGUGCAGUGGAUACGGGCUGGCUAGAGGCAGGCAGGGGAGAACGGAAUUCCACGUGUAGCGGUGAAAUGCGUAGAGAUGUGGAGGAACACCUGUGGCGAAGGCGGCCUGCUGGGCCAGCACUGACGCUGAGGCGCGAAAGCCAGGGGAGCGAACGGA